rnacentral:rRNA from 1 species
AGAUACCCUACUAUGCCCAACCACAAACACAGAUUUUUUUUAUCCGCCAGAGAACAACGAGCUAACGCUUAAAACUCAAAGGACUUGGCGGCACUCCACACCACCCUAGAGGGGCCUGUCACAUAAUCGAUAGCCCACGAUACACCUCACCCUCUCUCCCCGCCUAUAUACCGCCGUCGCAAGCCCAUCUUUUAAGAGGAACCAAAUGGGCCCAACAGUCUUUGCACGAAUACGACAGGUCAAGGUGUAGCCCAUGAGGCGGCGAAUGAUGGACCACAUUGCCCAUAAGGCCAAACUAAAAUUGUAAUGAAAUAAGCACUUUAAGGUGAAUUUAACAGUAAGGCGGACAAGAAAGCCCGCCUAAAGGUUGCUCCGGAGCGUGCACACACCGCCCGUCAC